CUUCCUAUGUUCUACAAAAUGGAAACAGAAACUGGGUACGCAUACAUUACCUUUGAAGGCAAGCAGAAACUGGACAAAAACCAAUUAAAACAGAGGCUCCACCUUGUGAAUUUUGAGGAUUAGAAACAUUACCAAUAGAUAGAGAGGACAGGUCCAAGGUUUUUUUCUCAGUUUUCUUGAGAAAGAUGAUGUUUCUGGUUUGUGUGGCUAGAGGUCCUUGUUUUAGAGAUAUUGAGGCCACAGUUUCAAAGAUAAGAUUCUUUUGGACAUUAUCAGGUAAAGUUUUGGUGUUUUCAAAGAGGUUUGGUUUUUUUUAUUCGUUUGAAUUUGUCUUCAUUGUAAAUUUCUGUCAUACAUAUAUCUGCUGCUUCUGCUGUGAGUUCUAA